GGCAAGAUGGCCGAGCGGUCUAAGGCGCUGCACUCAAGUGAACAGCUUGUCCAAUCAAAUUGGAUGCAUUGCAGUCUCGCAAGAGGCGUGGGUUCGAAUCCCACUCUUGUCA
rnacentral:tRNA from 1 species